rnacentral:misc_RNA from 1 species
GCAAACUUGGUCAUUUAGAGGAAGUAAAAGUCGUAACAAGGUUUCCGUAGGUGAACCUGCGGAAGGAUCAUUGUGGAAAGAAAAUGUUGAGCGAGAGAGAGAAAUCUCACUCUCGCUCUUAAUAAAGCCAUGUUGAAAUGUGUAUAAUCAUAAUCAUAAUCAUUCGAGUUGUUGGUUGGGAGAGAGAAGAAUGUUUUUCUUUCUCUCACACAACAAACUCUCGGAUUGAUCUUGAUUCUUGAUCAUUAUCAUAAACGAUAAAUCAAUUUAAAUCUUAAUCGUCAAAUUUUAAUUUAACUUUUAACUUUUAACAAUGGAUCUCUAGGCUCUUGCAUCGAUGAAGAACGCAGC